AAAGAAAGAGCGACGAUGGGGAAGGCGGAGGCUAAAACAAAACAGAAGAAAUCAGGAGCACAGAAAUGAAAAGAUAGAAAAAAAGAGAGAUUUGUCCAGGCUGCUGCUGCCAAGUGUGUCUCAGUGAGCACAUUUUUUAAAACGGCGCGGCCGCCUGCACCGCCACACAUUGAUACUAACACUGAAAGCAGUGAUGAUGCAGCCGCAGCCCGCGACGGUGUGGAAAUGGAGGCGGGGGGGGUCGGCGUCACAGCCCCCGUCUGAUGAAGAGGACGCCGCCGUGUCUCCUUGUCCUCCACUUGUCCUCCACAAACAACACAAACCAAGUUGUCCUACAGACCAAAUCACUGAACAAGGAGCAAGACUAGGAGCUGCUGAAGAGGACACCAUCCGUGUCCGCCUCCCCUCCACUUGUCGUCCAACCACAACCAUCAAGACAAACUACUGAACCAGGAGGUGAGGCCGCAUAAGUCCACUGGUGUGGGAGGAGUUGGAGCUGCUGCAGGUGUGCUGAUGGAGAGCGACGCCCACCUCUACCGGGAGCCAACCAGAGGAAACUUCUCCCCUACAAAACUGCUGCUGGAGCAGUGCUCUUUGGCAGUCGUCUCACACCACCUCAUGUGUAAAGACGUGCUGUCCGUUCUGUGUGAUGUUGUGAGAGCUUUGGGGCCAAAUGUUUGGUUUCCCUCAGCCUAUCUGCCCAAGCAGUUUGUGGCCCUGCUAAAUCUUGUUGGUUGAUUAACUUGUGAAAGUAAUGGAAGCAGUAAGGUAAAUAUUAGAUGGCUCCAACGCCUGAGUGAUGUAAAAGCCUACUUUGAUGAGGAUUGGUUUAGAGUAGUUAGUAUAGUUAAUAUUAUUGUAAUUUUGUUUUGGUUAAAUGUUAGGUUUAGUUAGUGGAUUUAUUAUUUUAAGGUUAGGGUCCAGUUCCUUAUGCUUAUUUCUUUGGUUUACGUUGGAGUCAUUUUCUUUAUAUAAACUUUAGUUUUGGGGUAUAAUUUGUAAACUGCUUUCCUUACUGUUGUAAGCAAUCAACUGUAUUUCAACUUGAACAAAAGAACCAUUGGGUCAAAUAAAAACAUUU